GCAGUGGCGGCAGUUGUUGCCUCAUGCAAGCACCCCCGCUCCCACGUCUAGCCGCCACCACCAGAAGGGGUAUACUAACCGCACCCUUUCUUGCAUAAAUAGGGGCCUAACCACACCCUUUCUUACAUAAGUAAGUGCAUCACAAACGGGUCUAGGGAGGUGAUACUUCCCCUCUAUGCAGCACUGGUCAGGCCGCAGCUUGAAGUACUGCAUCCAGUUUUGGGCCCCGCACUUCAGAAGUGAUGUGGAUGGCCUGGAGUGGGUUCAGAGGAGGGCCACUCAUCUGGCUAAAGGCCUGCAGAAAAACCCUAUGUGGACCGAUUGGGAGACCUGAACCUCUUCAGCCUCCGCAAUACGAGGCUGAGAGGUGAUCUUGUGGCCGCCUACAAACUCACCAGGGGGGCCAGCAAGAAAUAGGGGAUACAAUGUUUACAAGGGCGCCCGUUGGGGUAACUAGAAAUAAUGGCCACAAACUGAAAGAGAGAAAAUUCAGACUGGACAUCAGGACAAUAUUCUUUACAGUGAGGGUUGCAAAAUAUGGAAUACGCUUCCGUAUUGGUGGUGCUGUCCCCUUCCUUGGAGGUAUUUAAAAGGACAUUGGACAGACAUCUGGCUGGGGUCAUCUGACCCCAGAACUCUUUCCUGCCCAGGGCAGGGGUGCAGACUCGAUAGGUUCCCUCCGACCCUAACAACUAUGAAACUAGUUUUAAAAUGGUCGAAAACUCCUGGUAUAUUGCAUGGCCAGUCAUGAUCUGAAGUGGGGGGGGUUUCCGGCCAUUAUAAACUGAGUAAUAUAGGAUCUGAAAUAAUACUUAAGCAUUUAGGGUUGAUUUGCUUUAAUAUGAAAGUAUUUUAGAUGUCCUAUUCUCAAAUGCUUCACCAUCACUUUCAUCACUGUUAUUCCCUGACAUAUCUUCAUGCUGGUGUUCCUCAGACACCAUAUUGGAUAUUAACACUCCCUUAUUUACAUUGAGUAGCACUGAGAAAAAUGCCAAGUUCAUUUGGCAAUUGAGUUCUUGACCACACUGACCUCUAUUCAUCAGAAUCACAAACCUAUCUUCUAGUCCAAAAUCUACUUUUUUAAGGGAUUCCCAUGUGUCCUUCACUGCUGUUUUAAGGCAUCUACUUUUCUGAUGUGUUUAAAAAUUUCAUCUGGUGUUAGAUCAGCAAAAAGCACCAUUAUAGACUCAUUUUUACAGUCUGAAUAACUGAAAAGUAUCCCAUCUCCAUGACACUUUUGUAAACGCAUCUUCACUUCGUUAUUCCUUAUUACGUUACCAUCUGCCAAAUCAUUUACAAUAUUUCUCUUACUUCAGAAAGUGUGAAAUGAUAGCCAUCUUUCAACAUAGGCCCCACAAUUUCAUUUGCUUUCUCAAAAAAUGUAUCCCUAAGAGAGGGUGUUUUCUGGGUAACAGACUGCUUAGGAGUGUUGUUGUAUUUCUUCAGGUACAUUUUCAGGCAUACUUUGUGAUAAAGUAAAUCUGCUCCAAACACUUGGGAUUCUAAUUCCAGGUCUGCAAUUUGAGAGAACACAUCAUCCUGGAGAUGAAGAGCAGCUGCCAAAAAUUUGUAAAACCUUUGUGUUUCACAGAUGCAGAACUUAUCUCUUAUUUUGUUCUGACUUUGCUGGCUGCACAUAACUCAAGGAAGAUUUGCUGGUUGUAGUCCGCAGGUUUGUCAUUGCCCUGAAAUAAAAUAGUUUUCUGAAAGCAUACUGUUAGGUUUACAAUAAUUUGGAUUUUUAAGAAGUAUUAGCUUUACAGCUGAAUACAAGGCAUGACCUGUGGCCUAGCAAUGCAGCUGACCACAAGGCAGAAUGAUAGCUAGGCCUUUGCUUGUGUCAAGUAAUCAUUUUAACUGCAACAAGCAUUUUCUGAGUUAAAAAGUGAAUCUGUGUCUGUGUGCUAAAAAAAAUCAGCUACAGCUAGAAGUAAGAUAAGACAGAGAAACCAUUGUUUGAGCUUACUCGUUGUGUCCUUGAGAAGUAUCUUCUACUGUGUAAGGUUUUGCUAACAUAAUGUUACUGUUACUUAACUUUUAGCUUUUAAAAAAGUGCUAGUUCAGCUUAAUAGAAAUAUGCUGUUACAAAGAUUUGUAGAGCACCGCCCCAAGUAUUGCUUUUUGUUAACCAUAUAGUCUUGCUUUGUUGUAAGAAGUAUAAAAGAUCGCCUCACCCUUGAGGGGGGGCCAUUUUGCCUUUUGCUGGCUUUAUGGUCUUUGCUCGAGCAAAUAAACAGCUGUCUUUCUUUACCUGCGUUGUCUGUCAAUCAAAUUACAGCUAGACAACGGACCUUAGGGAGGUUUCUCCCACCACAAUUUGGCACCCCAGAUGGGACCCGUCUAGCUUGACGCCUUUGGAGACCUCCAUCCCCCGACACCCCAGCGCGCACCAGGUAUGCUGCUUUAAGCCAACCCCUCCCUGCCGAUGUCCCAGCACAUCGCAUCCAGCCUGGAGACUGGGUGUAUGUAAAAAUUUGGAAACGGUCUCCCCUUGAAUCUAGGUGGCAAGGACCGUAUCAAGUCCUCCUCACCUCCCACACUGCCGUAAAAAUAGCAGAGAAGGACAACUGGAUUCAUUAUACUCGUACAAAGAAGACAGAAGUUUCACCCGAGCUCAGGAUCGGCUCCAACACAAGCUUCCCUGACCUGGAAAAGGGGAAGCCAGAAGAAGACGACUGCGGACUUCGUGGGAGCACCGCAUGCCCACCUGACUGCGACAAGGGUGAGCCAGAAGCAGACGAAAAAAUAAAAACAAACACCUCCUGGACCUGCAGCCCAUUAGAUAAUAUAAAACUCAAACUAACCAAGGUCCACUAAUGAACUGUCACCCUUUUGGGGUCCUGCCCAGCCCAGAAAGCACCAAACUCCAAGUACUGCAUCCUCUAGACACUUUUGGAUCAGCUGAAACCGAGCACUUUGAGACUGUAACAUGUCCCAGAAGAUCAGUUAUUGGAGCUGCAGGGUUGUGCAUACUGUUUGUGCUGAUUUUGGUUAUAAUAUGGUUUUUAUAACUAUGUUAUUUCUAAUCUUUCUCUUUGCUGGAGAAAUAAGUCUCUCACAGGGGUCGGCUAUAGCUGCCAGUUGCUGCAGAUGUGCUAAUCCUGGUGCCCGAGGUUUUCCUGUCUGGAUAAGCUAUUCAAUCGAACUCUCUGAUAUAGACGGGAAGGUCAACAUUGCCCGUUGGUAUCCUCCCUCACAUUGCUGUAGUUCAGCAGAAGUUCGGGUAUUUACUUAUGGAACAGAAUAUUGUGUGAAGCCUAGCCACCCAGUUUUCAGACAAUUUGCAGAGUCUCCUCAGGCUAAGACUACUCUUAAACCUAAUGUUGCCCACAUCUCUGAUAAUAAUAUGUACCUCCAAUACGUUGAGAGAGCCGCUAAAGCAGAAAACCAAAGUGAUUGUUGGGUGUGCAGUCAUUUUCCUCUCCACACUCAAGGAGGCAUUCCUAUGACUCCCAUCCCCUUGGGCCCCAUCGAGUCACUUUUAAACCCCUCUAAUAACCAAGCUUGGGACCAAAGUCAGCAGGAGUUCCUUUUAGUAAAGUCUGUUGUUGGAGAUUGGUGUUUCUAUGUAAACUGCUCAGUAUCAGACUGCAUUAAUUUAGGCACAAGCAUAUGUCACCAAUAUUUUACUAGUUCUAGUGGAGGAGACUGGCGUAAUAAUAACACAGCAACUCCUACCUAUUGCAGCUCUUACAAUGAUUUCUACAGCAACAAAAAUUUAACCAAGGGCACUAAUCCUAUCUGCACCCCCAUCUCCUCUUUAAAUAAUACCUUGUGAUAUUGUUUGUACACUGAUACCUCCCGGGGACAAUGCUUCUUCAAUGGAACUGCAAAUCCUUCCUUUAAAUCAAAGGGUGAACGCAGGGUGCUAGGGUUAGGAAACAGGGGCCGAAUACCUCCUAAGUAUUCAAACCUCGCUGCUUUAAAAGGACAAUACUGGGUCUGUGGCUCCCACGCCUACCAUAAAAUCCCUGCCAAAGGAAAAGGUAUCUGCUAUCCGGCGAUGCUAAAACCCUCUACGUCCUUUGCCACGCACCUUCCACAGGGCAGGUGGCGAAACAAGAGGGAUUUGCAAGAAAGCCAUGAUAUAGUAGAUAAAUAUCAAAAAACUCUGCUUACCAAAGGAGUGUUAGUCGGGUGUUCUUUAGCAGGUAUACUCCCAGGAGUAGGCACUGCUUGUCUUAGAAGUUUUACACUUCGCCUACAAGCUGUGAUAGAAAUCAUGGCUCAUGAAUUCAGUGAAGGUCACAAGGAACUCUCGAAGGCCGUUGCUGCCUUGGCUGACACCCAAGAAGAACUUAGACAAAUGGUAAUUCAAAACCGUAUAGCCCUUGAUUUUCUCCUCGCUGCUCAAGGGGGAGCUUGCGCAGUUAUCGGACCAGAAUGUUGCGUUUGGGUUAACAGUUCUUUUACAAUAGUACAAACCCACCUCAAUGAUGCAGCUGUCCAUAUCCAAAAAGCCGAAGAUAUAGCAAAAAUCCCCAAAGAUACAUCUCUUAGUUGGCUCACAAAUUGGUUACCUUCCCUUACAGGAUGGCUUAGACCUUUUGUAUUAAGCUUAAUUGGAAUUGUUAUAACUAUAAUCUGCCUGUUGUGCUGUUUUCAGUGUCUAUGCUCUCUAGGACAACAGUUUAUGCAAAGGCAAGUAAAAAUGUAUGGUCAGUUUGUACAAAUAUCCAGCCUCAAUCAUCAAAACCUAACCCCACAAGAAGUUGAAUACCUAAAAGUGUGUUCCAAAAUUUCCUCUGAAAUAUUGGAACAAAGUGGGGAGUUGUAGUCCGCAGGUUUGUCAUUGCCCUGAAAUAGAAUAGUUUUCUGAAAGCAUACUGUUAGGUUUACAAUAAUUUGGAUUUUUAAGAAGUAUUAGCUUUACAGCUGAAUACAAGGCAUGACCUGUGGCCUAGUAAUGCAGCUGACCACAAGGCAGAAUGAUAGCUAGGCCUUUGCUUGUGUCAAGUAAUCAUUUUAACUGCAACAAGCAUUUUCUGAGUUAAAAAGUGAAUCUGUGUCUGUGUGCUAAAAAAAAUCAGCUACAGCUAUAAGUAAGAUAAGACAGAGAAACCAUUGUUUGAGCUUACUGGUUGUGUCCUUGAGAAGUAUCUUCUACUGUGUAAGGUUUUGCUAACAUAAUGUUACUGUUACUUAACUUUUAGCUUUUAAAAAAGUGCUAGUUCAGCUUAAUAGAAAUAUGCUGUUACAAAGAUUUGUAGAGCACCGCCCCAAGUAUUGCUUUUUGUUAACCAUAUAGUCUUGCUUUGUUGUAAGAAGUAUAAAAGAUCGCCUCACCCUUGAGGGGGGGCCAUUUUGCCUUUUGCUGGCUUUAUGGUCUUUGCUCGAGCAAAUAAACAGCUGUCUUUCUUUA